rnacentral:tRNA from 1 species
GGUUCUAUGGUGUAGUGGUUAGCACUUUGGAGUUUGGACUUUGAAUCUAGUUACCUGGGUUUGACUCCCGGUAGGACCU